UCCACCUCCGGCGACCCACCACGCCCCCUUCUCCCACCUCCGACGCCGGGCCACGCCCCCCCAGCUCCCACCUCCGACGAGGCGCCACGGCCCUGCCUCCCACCUUCGGCGACGCGCCACGGCCCUGCCUCCCAUCUCCGGCGACGCGCCGCCCCUGAACUGCAUCUCCUCUCUCGCGCCGCCCCCACUGGCCCGAGCACGCGGGUGUCCCUCCCACGGAGCCAAGCUCGCACACCACCGUCCCUCCCACCGCGCCAAGCUCGCACUCCAUUGCCGCUGGUGCCCCCAUCCUCGCGCUGUCCGUGACCCCUCCACUACACUCCUCUGCUGCAGGAACACGUCAGUUCGUGUGGAGCAUAACAGUCCGUCAGUUUGAUAGUUCGUCAGUUCGCCGAUGGGAUCCGCGGCGCUCGCUCCCCAAUGGUUGCCCGCGCAAUGAGGAUACAGGGAGGCGACAGUGGUGGAGUCAGCAGCGUUCCAUUGCCUUUGUCUUCCUCGUCGCAUCUUUUCUUAUAAACAGCGAGAAGAAAAUGAGGCAUAGGCUUCAUGCUCUCCAUCUCCUAGUAAAGGGGAGUUAAUCUCUACGGCCACUUGGAUGUGGAUGCUCACGCUCCUCCACUGGGCCAGCUCCCAAGGCACCACGGGGAUUGAUAUUGUCAUCUCUAUCCCUCGGCCAUGAGGGCCAAGAGGUUUCCUACACCCUGCUGAGUGAAAUGCCACUUCCAACCAGCACCUGGCCUAAUGCCGUACAUAGACCACCAUGCUUUUUAAGAUUGCCUGUAUGCCUGUACAUGAAAAAUCUCAACAAUUCCAUUUCUUGUCUACAUGAUUUUGUGCUAGCUUAUCACAAGUUCACGUUGCAUGCUCAAUGUAGUAGCUAGCUGAAGAAAAGUUAUUGUUCUGUAGCUUUGGUCUUACCAUUGUGGUGCUUGUGUUAUUGCAUGGGAAAAUGAAAGAAAGGAGUAUUUUGCAAAUCAAUGAAUGACAACAAAGUUUGCUGCUUCCCCACCCAAUUUAGAGCUCCAAAAAAGUUCAGAGUUCAGAGUAGUUGUUUGGAGAUGAACAAUAAAUAAGUAUAAUAAAACAAAAGAAAAAUUUGUAAAAAGUACGACAAAGUUCACUAUGUAUUUCACCAUCAGUACAUAAAGAAAUAUUAUAUAAAAUUCCCUGCUCACAGACUAUAUUUAUAGCCUAAUGGUUAGUGUCAAAAUGUGUUGUUCUUGUUUCUUUAUGGUUGCUUCUUUAUUAUAUGAAUAUGAAUGUGCUAGCUAGCUUAAGCUUAGCAAUACCGUUUGGAGUCAAUAGGUGUAGCUCAAAUAAUUCUUGGGCCAUUUUGUCAUAACAAUAAGGCAGGACAUGCUAACAAGAUGAUGAAACCAUGUAUAUAUAACUUGAUGACUGUCCAAAUUGAGAAAAUCCUGAAAUAUUAUAUGUGCUCUCUUUGUAUCAGUUCUUAUGCUUGUGAAAAUUCUGCACUCAUAAUGUGCUCGGUAACUAGAAAAAAUACAUAAGUUCGAAAUAUACUUACCAUGUUUAUUCAGUGUUUUUUCAGUGGUUAUUGGUUUCCUCUUGAGCAGAUGAACUACAUUGUCACAUUAAACUGCAGGGAGAUGUUCCCUCAGUCCUCUCUCGACAAAUCCAACAGUACAGGUUCUCCGGUGCGCCAAGUAUUGCCGGCGGCAAUGCCUGCAUCAUGGCUCAUUGAGGAGAUCAUGCCCGUCAGUUGUACUUGGUGGUGCAGACUUGGUAGCGGUUAUAUUUCGGUUCGAUUAUAUAUCAAAAAUAGUGCAAUGACUAAAAGAUCAUCAGUCCAAAAUAUAUAUGCAGGCACCAAAUUCUGCUACUGCUCCAACCACUCAUGCCAAGAAAAGGGAGCACAAUUCGCAAGGUUCACAGCAAUCUGUCAUAGUUGAUUCAGUGUCUAGGUCGAGUGGAAUCCCCAAGGUGCGUGCAGAUUUAUGAAAUUGCUAUGUACGGGGUGAGUUUUGUUUGUUGUGAGUAAUGGACUAAUGGUUAUCUGCUGCUCCUUUUUGUCAAGAAUUUGUAACGAGUUUCAGUUCUAAUUUCACUCGCUCACAGUACCAUUGUUCUUCAUAGCACACCACCUGUUUGUGCAAAUACCUAUGAGAGGAUACCAUACAGUGGAGAUGAAAAGGUGUGUUCAAAAUAAUGUCAAACAACCUGCUCCUUUCAAACAUUUUGGAUAAGUGCAGAAAUGAACGUUUGCAAGUUCAAAACAGCUAGUUCAAUAAGUUUGGGGAUUUUAUAUUAUAUGGCAUUUGGGGAUUUUGCAGCAGUUUCCCAAUAAAGGUUUACACCUCUUCAGAUUAUGAAAAGCUAGUAAGUUCAGACUCUGGAAGGAGAGAUCAUCGUUUGUUAAGGUCUGGUGUUUAGUUGGUGGUUAUGUGGUACCUACACCGUCACUUUUCAUCAAGACCUCAAGAAGAGAUAUCAUCUCAA